UUAUACUGCCAUCUUCAACUACGCAGACCUCACGUAAGUGGCAAAGCCAAUCGGACGCACGCUCAAGCUAGCUAAUUUUUCAUUUGACAGUAUAAAAGGACACCCGUUAGGCCGUUAGAAGCCGUUCAACAAUCUUAAAAAAAGAGAGCCACAUUUCAUACCAGCACUUUGUUAAGUUCUCCUGCUUACCAGGAUAUCCAUUUGUUGACCGCGCUUCCGACAGAGGAUUUGAAGUGUAAGACAAGACGUCACUGUAAGAAGAAUGGCAACAACGAAGACACUGCUUCCGUAUCUCAUUCUUUUUGCCAUAUUGGCAUCGAACGUUAACUGCAGACCUCGAAAUUCACACGCCAACGUAACUGUGAGAGAACGCAGCCGAAGCGAUUAUGAAUAUUGCCUGAGGCAAAGUUGCAAUGUCAUCUGUCCACCACCUUGCGCGUGCCCGAGCCUUUUCUAUCAAUGGCUCGGAUACAGGGGAUGUACAAUUGGGGACUGAAAAUUUUGAAAAAAAA
rnacentral:lncRNA from 1 species